GAAUUCACUAGUGAUUCAGGCCUAACACAUGCAAGUCGAGCGGGGUUUUCGGACCUAAAAAAGGACGGGUGAGUAAUGCGUAGGAAGCUGCCCGAUAGAGGGGGAUACCAGUUGGAAACGACUGUUAAUACCGCAUAAUGUCUACGGACCAAAGUGUGGGACCUUCGGGCCACAUGCUAUCGGAUGCGCCUACGUGGGAUUAGCUAGUUGGUGAGGUAAUGGCUCACCAAGGCGACGAUCUCUAGCUGGUUUGAGAGGAUGAUCAGCCACACUGGAACUGAGACACGGUCCAGACUCCUACGGGAGGCAGCAGUGGGGAAUAUUGGACAAUGGGCGCAAGCCUGAUCCUU
rnacentral:rRNA from 1 species